GCAGCCCGGGUCUCAGGGAACAUGGCGGCGCUGGUGAGACCCGCGAGGUUUGUCGUGCGACCGUUGCUGCAGGUGGUCCAGGCUUGGGACCUUGACGCGAGGCGCUGGGUCCGGGCGCUGCGGCGGAGCCCAGUGAAAGUGGUGUUUCCUUCCGGAGAGGUGGUGGAACAGAAGCGCGCUCCUGGGAAGCAGCCCCGCAAGGCACCAUCUGAGGCCAGUGCCCGGGAGCAACGAGAGAAACAACCGCUCGAGGAGUCCGCAUCCCGCGCUCCCAGCACCUGGGAAGAGUCUGGGCUUCGCUACGAUAAAGCUUAUCCCGGGGACAGGAGGCUGAGCAGUGUAAUGACAAUAGUGAAGUCCAGGCCAUUUCGGGAAAAACAAGGGAAGAUCCUGCUGGAAGGUCGCAGGCUCAUUUCAGACGCUCUCAAGGCUGGAGCUGUGCCAAAAAUGUUCUUCUUUAGCCGUCUAGAAUACCUAAAGGAGCUGCCAGUCGAUAAGCUGAAAGGUGUCAGCCUCAUUAAGGUGAAAUUUGAGGAUAUCAAGGAUUGGUCCGACCUCGUAACGCCACAAGGAAUAAUGGGUUAGUGAUUACCCAGUGUAUCUUUUUUUUUUUUUUUGUCUUGUUCUGUCACCCAGGCUGGAGUGCAAUGGCGCGAUCUUGGCCCACUGCAACCUCCGCCUCUCUGGUUCAAGGGAUUCUCUUGCCUCAGCCUCCCCAGUAGCUGGGAUUACAGGCGUCUGCCACCACGCCCGGGUGAUUUUUGUGUUUUUA
rnacentral:sRNA from 1 species